rnacentral:rRNA from 1 species
GGCGUGCUUAACACAUGCAAGUCGAACGGGGAUGCUUAUGGAAGGAGUGCUUGCACUUUGGAAAUGAGUAUCUUAUUGGCGGACGGGUGAGUAACGCGUGGGUAACCUGCCCCAUACCGGGGGAUACCACCUGGAAACCGGUGCUAAUACCGCAUACGCGCACGGGAGCGCAUGCUCCUGUGUGAAAAACUCCGGUGGUAUGGGAUGGACCCGCGUCUGAUUAGCCAGUUGGCAGGGUAACGGCCUACCAAAGCGACGAUCAGUAGCCGGCCUGAGAGGGUGGACGGCCACAUUGGGACUGAAACACGGCCCAAACUCCUACGGGAGGCAGCAGUGGGGAAUAUUGCACAAUGGGGGACACCCUGAUGCAGCGACACCGCGUGAGUGAAAAAGUAUUUCGGUAUGUAAAGCUCUAUCACCAAGAACGAGACAAGACGGUACCUGACUAAGAAGCCCCGGCUAACUACAUGCCAGCAGCCGCGGUAAUACGUAGGGGGCAAGCGUUAUCCGUCAUCAUUUGGUGUAAAGGGAGGGUGGACGGGCGAUCAAGCUUGAAGUGAAAGGCGUGGGCCCAACCCCCGGACUGCUUUGGGAACUGUACGGUUGGAGUGCAGGAGAGGUAAGUGGAAUUCCUAGUGUAGCGGUGAAAUGCGUAGAUAUUAGGAGGAACACCAGUGGCGAAGGCGGCUUACUGGACUGUAACUGACGUUGAGGCUCGAAAGCGUGGGGAGCAAACAGGAUUAGAUACCCUCGUAGUCCACGCCGUAAA